UUCCCUUACGCAUGUGCUAGCAGACAGCGGUUUGUUUGCUUGAGUAGCUUGAGCAUGGCUUGAGGAUGAGAUUUGUGGUAGUGGUGAAGCAGCUUUGCCAAAUAUUCCGUUCAAGUUCCUCGCUGGAUGUCCGGCUCGUCCGUCGAUGUUCAACAGAUGCAACAAGUGCCUGUCCACUUUUUCUCAGCUGCACCUUCUCAGUCCAGGCAGCAGCAGCAGCACCAGGUGAAUGUAGGUACACAACUUCCAAGUGAAUUGCAAUUCUGAAGCCGAUUUUCAGGCAUGGGGAGAAGAAAUGCAGGAUGCAACCACCCUCAUGGUGGUGUACAAGUAUUGCCUUGUAGUGAGGUGAAUUGGAUCCUUUGAAACGUGCCAUCCAGCACACCCCGAAUACUGAGCUGCAGUGCAAUGCCGUCAUGUAGUUUCCCUAACAUAAACAAAUAGUUUCUUGAAGGUAAAAAAAGGACAUUCCAGUACAACAUAGUGUUUUACAAGUGCCUGCACGGGCCGCCUCUAUUGCAUCUUCGUCUGUUUUUGUCAGUGGGGUGUGGGACAGCCCAAAAUCAUGUGCAUAAUAGGAAGCUUGGAAGACAAACGAGACCUUGCCAGUUUGGAACAUUGCACACAUAUCAGCAAGGCAGGUGUCCCCACGCUUGACGGAACCUUGUGAUUUGACGGACCUUUUCCUUUGAUGUGUCCUCUCUAUAAAAGCACCUGAUCAGUUACAAAUAUAAUAACACUUUAAACCAGAGAGUCGAACCGAACCCGAACCGAAAACCGUUAUUUUUGGCCGAACCGGAACUGAACCGAACCGAAAGAGUCGACGCCAUCUUGGAGCUGAACCGGAACUAAACCGGUAAAGAAAUACCGGUUUCCGGUUCAAAUAACGGUUCACACGGAAUUAAGUGC